rnacentral:SRP_RNA from 1 species
UCGUGCUAGACGGGAAGUUAGCGGUGUCCUGUUACCUGCAAUCCGCUAUAGCAGGGUUGAAUUCCCCGUUUAGGCUUUAGAAUGUGAGGUCUGGCCUAUAUAAGUGGCGUUGAGAAUUGGGCCCCACGCAACGGAAACUCAUGAACUCCGUCAGAUCCGGAAGGAAGCAGCGGUAAGUGAGAUCUUCCGUGUGCCGUGGGUAAACCUGAUUUGAGUUAACUGUAUAGGUAACGCUCAUAUUCUACUGUCGAUGCGGGGUGCACGA